GGCCAUGCCCUCAUCCUGCACUCUACAAGACUGCCCCUGGUGAGCGGCUUCUACAAGCUGCUUUCCGUCUGCAUGACCAUCUGUACCAAGGUCAAGUACUUCAAGGACCUGGACACGAAGGUCAUCAGCCCCUCGGAAGAGUCCAUGGACACGGAGGGGAGGGACAGGUCCUCGGAGGGACAGGCCUGCUUCACUCUGUUCAGGAAGUUUGUCAGGGAGGUGAGGUGGAG